rnacentral:rRNA from 1 species
AUUUUGGACAAUGGGGGAAACUCUGAUCCAGCCAUCCCGCGUGUAUGAUGGAGGCCUUCGGGUUGUAAAGUACUGUUGGCAGAGAAGAAAAGGUAUCCCCUAAUACGAGAUACUGCUGACGGUAUCUGCAGAUUAAUCCCCGGCUAACCACGUGCCGGCAGCCGCGGGAAUAAGUAGGGUGCAAGAGUUAAGCGGGAUUACUGGGCGUAAAGCGUGUGUAUGCUGUUCGGAAAGAAAGAUGUGAAAUCCCAGGGCUCAACCUUGGAACUGCAUUUUUAACUGCCGAGCUAGAGUAUGUCAGAGGGGGGUAGAAUUCCACGUGUAGCAGUGAAAUGCGUAGAUAUGUGGAGGAAUACCGAUGGCGAAGGCAGCCCCCUGGGAUAAUACUGACGCUCAGACACGAAAGCGUGGGGAGCAAACA